UACAGAGGGUGCGAGCGUUAAUCGGAAUUACUGGGCGUAAAGCGUGCGUAGACGGUAGCGUAAGUCAGAUGUGAAAGCCCCGGGCUCAACCUGGGAACUGCAUUUGAGACUGCUCUGCUCGGGUGCGGAAGAGGGAAGCGGAAUUUCCGGUGUAGCGGUGAAAUUCGUAGAUAUCGGGAGGAACACCAGUGGCGAAGGCGGCGACCUGGGCCAAUAUUGACGCUGAGGUGCGAAAGCGUGGGGAGCAAACAGG
rnacentral:rRNA from 1 species